UAGGGAAUCUUCCGCAAUGGACGCAAGUCUGACGGAGCAACGCCGCGUGAGUGAAGAAGGAUUUCGGUUCGUAAAACUCUGUUGUUAGAGAAGAACAGCGCAUAGAGUAACUGUUAUGCGUGUGACGGUAUCUAACCAGAAAGCCACGGCUAACUACGUGCCAGCAGCCGCGGUAAUACGUAGGUGGCAAGCGUUGUCCGGAUUUAUUGGGCGUAAAGCGAGCGCAGGCGGUUAGAUAAGUCUGAAGUUAAAGGCAGUGGCUCAACCAUUGUAGGCUUUGGAAACUGUUUAACUUGAGUGCAGAAGGGGAGAGUGGAAUUCCAUGUGUAGCGGUGAAAUGCGUAGAUAUAUGGAGGAACACCGGUGGCGAAAGCGGCUAUCUGGUCUGUAACUGACGCUGAGGCUCGAAAGCGUGGGGAGCGAACAGG
rnacentral:rRNA from 1 species